rnacentral:rRNA from 1 species
ACCGGCAAACGGGUGCGGAACACGUACACAACCUUCCUAUAAGCGGGGAAUAGCCCAGAGAAAUUUGGAUUAAUACCCCGUAACAUAACGAUGUGGCAUCACAUUGUUAUUAUAGCUUCGGCGCUUAUUGAUGGGUGUGCGGCUGAUUAGAUAGUUGGCGGGGUAACGGCCCACCAAGUCUACGAUCAGUAGCUGACGUGAGAGCAUGAUCAGCCACACGGGCACUGAGACACGGGCCCGACUCCUACGGGAGGCAGCAGUAAGGAAUAUUGGUCAAUGGACGCAAGUCUGAACCAGCCAUGCCGCGUGAAGGAUUAAGGUCCUCUGGAUUGUAAACUUCUUUUAUCUGGGACGAAAAAAGGCUUUUCUAAGUCACUUGACGGUACCAGAUGAAUAAGCACCGGCUAACUCCGUGCCAGCAGCCGCGGUAAUACGGAGGGUGCAAGCGUUAUCCGGAUUCACUGGGUUUAAAGGGUGCGUAGGCGGGCAGGUAAGUCAGUGGUGAAAUCCUGGAGCUUAACUCCAGAACUGCCAUUGAUACUAUCUGUCUUGAAUAUUGUGGAGGUAAGCGGAAUAUGUCAUGUAGCGGUGAAAUGCUUAGAUAUGACAUAGAACACCUAUUGCGAAGGCAGCUUACUACGCAUAUAUUGACGCUGAGGCACGAAAGCGUGGGGAUCAAACAGGAUUAGAUACCCUGGUAGUCCACGCCCUAAACGAUGGAUACUCGACAUACGCG